rnacentral:rRNA from 1 species
UACGUAGGGGGCAAGCGUUAUCCGGAAUUACUGGGCGUAAAGCGCACGCAGGCGGUUGACCAAGUUCAUGCUGACAAUCAUCGGCUUCACCGAUGAGGGUGUAUGAAAACUGGCUAACUUGAGAGCGAGAGAGGGAGAUGGAAUUCCAGGUGGAGCAGUGAAAUGCGUAGAGAUCUGGAGGAACACCAAAGGCGAAGGCAGUCUCCUGGCUCGUAUCUGACGCUCAGGGGCGAAGGCUAGGGGAGCGAACAGG